UACGUAGGGUGCGAGCGUUAAUCGGAAUUACUGGGCGUAAAGCGUGCGCAGGCGGUUUUGUAAGCCAGAUGUGAAAGCCCCGGGCUUAACCUGGGAAUGGCAUUUGGGACUGCAAGGCUGGAGUUUGGCAGAGGAGACUGGAAUUCCUGGUGUAGCAGUGAAAUGCGUAGAUAGUCAGGAGGAAUACCGAUGGCGAAGGCAGGUCUCUGGGCUAUAACUGACGCUCGAU
rnacentral:rRNA from 1 species